CUACACUUCAUGACCUAAAAAUCAGGAUUUAUAUAUUGAAUAAGAGAAAUUUUCUCUUAAGAGUAUUUAUCAGAUCGAGGCUAAAAAUCCCUCCAAUUUUUUUUAUCUCCCGCUCUCAGAUUUACACUAAUUUCGGUCCAAGAUCAAGCUCCAAAAAUCCCCCGCCCACCAAAAUUUAACUAUCUCAGAGUUGGGUCUUAAAACUUAUCACUUUCAAAUUUUCAACAAAUCGAGAUCCAAAAAUUCCCCCUCUUUUUUCAUCUCCCGCUCCAAAAAUUUCACCAAAAUCUACUUUAAAAUUCCCAAAGUUUUUUCGUAUGAAAGAGGAUUUCAGCAAUUGUUCUUAUUGUCUCUGAAAAAGAAGUUCUUUUUUUUUGUUAAGAUGGAAACAACUGCAACCUCUAAUGGUGCACCUACACCAGUAUUCCCAUCUCAAACUGUUGAAACUGUGGUAAAUGCUCGCACUACUCAAACUGCUCCAAAGCUGAUGGUGGAGAUGGAUGUAAGUGACAGACUUGAAGGUCCUGAUCCAUGGUACUUUGCUACUUGUACCGGAGAACUUGUCCGAACGCAUUAUCAUGUGUCGUACCUGGAUUGGAGGGGAGUUCCAAAGAUCUUGAAAGGUUAUUGUUAAAAGGAAUCCUGCUUCUCAGACUGAAAAUGAACAAUCCGUCUGCUCUGGAUGCCCUCAGUAGUAACGUGCAUCUGGAACUCUGUAAGACAGCAAUUUCGAAUGUGGGACAUGCCGGCGAGGUACAUUUUCUAUCCGGUUGAAAUGUGGUUUGCUGCUUCAGAGUUUUAUAAUUAGGUGACUACAACAAGGUUAUGAUUUAGCAGGAUCAGAGUGACCUGAAAAUGCAGAUAUUCUCAUGAUCGGGAUGACCUAAAACUGCAGAAUAUCCGUCGCUUCAGGAUGCACUUGUUACUCAAGGACUGAAUUUUGCAAAUUAUAUUGAUGGUUAGAGGAAUUAAUGAACUUUGCUCUCAGAUCAGGUGGAUUGAUUCUGAGGCUUCUGCGGGUGGUUCUCACAAUUGAGGUAUAUAGCUUACCUUUUUUAAAAACUUUUGGUAACUCUGUAUGUAGUUCACCUAUUUUUAUAAAUCACUUCUGUGAGUAUUUUUUUUGUUUAUUUUGUGGUAUCUAUUUCCUGACUAUGUUGAUUUUGUGGCACCUUGUUUGUAGCUAUUCAACACGCUUUCACUGUUUCUGCUCUUUGAUGAAGAUAUUAUCUUCGCAUCUCACGCUUACUUGGUAGAAAUCUUUAUCAACUUUUCACAUUCUUUUUCAUGCAACUAUCAUGAUGUUUGAAUGGUUUCUAGUAAUUCUGUGCACCCAUUCCACCAUCAUGGUCACCAAUCUGCUGUUACUGAAGUUGAUAGUUGUGGUUUUGUCACUGAUCUGUGAAUUUGUCGACUGGUUGUAGUAGUGGAAUUGGAAUUCUGAUGUAGUGUUUACUCAUUAUUAUAGUAUUCUUAUAGGAAAAUUUUGUUGUUAUAAAACAUCGGCAUGACAAUUACAAAAACAAAACAAUAGAAUUAGCCAAUCGGGACAGAACUGAUUCCAUCUCGACCACUAUAUUCCAAACUUUAUCUAGUUAAGUUUUGACUUUCAUGGUUGUAGUUGUUGUGACGUUCUUAGUUAAAUCCAAAGGCCAUAAAUAGGCAUAAGAGUUAUCGUCUUUGCACAAUUCUCUUCGUCUCUUGGCUAGUUUCCAGAUUGUGUUUGUACCAGAUCUUCGUUUUGUUGUACUGUAGUUCAAUUCCCCACAAAGAGAUGGUAUGUCACAAACUUGCAGAUCGAAAGCAAGAUGAUAAUAUGGAUGAAUAUGAAAGUUCCGGUUGAGUGCUGCCUUAUAACAUCGUAGCUGCUGAAGCACUAGGAACUGGUCCUUCAGAUGCAGCCGCAUUUAUUCCUGCGGCAUUGCGAUGGAUUUUGGUGUUAGAAGUAUUUCUCGUCAACUGUUGAACUCGCUGGCCCUCUUUAAUUAUUGAUUCAAAUUUCAAAGGUCCGGAUAUGUCUACGCUGAUAAACACCUGGAACUUGAUUUAUUUUUUAAUCUUGAGAAGUACAUGUUCUGAUGAUUUGGGGGGCUUGGGAUGGCACUUAUAGCAUGUUCUGACGCACAUGUUCGUAUUUUGUAAUCAUUGAGUUUAUACUUUGUUUUGGAUAUUUUUUCACCAUUGGAAAUUCAUGUUUAAGAUCAAUUUUUAUUUUUAUUUUAAAUUCCUUAUGUUUAAGUGGGAUUAUAUCUCCUUGUAAGAAACCUCAUCUAUUAAUAAAAUUUAAAAUUUAUUUUA